AUGAGUAGGAAGUCAAGCAAAGGAGGCAGGAGACAUGCAUGGAUGAGCAAGGAGCUCCUGGCAAAACUCAACCAGAACAAGGAAGUAUACAGAAAGUGGAAAGGGGGACAGGCCACUUGGGAGGAAUAUAGAAACAUUGUCAGAGUAUGCAGGGAUGUGACGAGGAAGGCUAAGGCCCGUUUGGAAUUAAAUCUGGCGAGAGAUGUCAAGGACAGCAAGAAGGGCUUCUUCAAAUAUAUCAGUAGCAAGAGGAAGACUAGGGAAAAUGUGGGGCCUUUGCUGAAUGGGGUGGGUGCCCUGGUGACAAAGAAUGCAGAGAAGGCAGAGUUACUGAAUGCCUUCUUUGCUUCAGUCUUUACUGCUCAGGCCAGCCCUCAGGAACCCCAGACCCUGGAGGCAAGAGAGAAAGUCUGGAGAAAGGAAGACUUUCCCUUGGUGGAGGAGGAUCGGGUUAGAGAUCAUUUAAGCAAACCUGACACCCACAAAUCCAUGGGCCCCGAUGGGAUGCACCCACGAGUGCUGAGGGAGCUGGCGGAUGUCAUUGCUAGGCCACUCUCCAUCAUCUUUGAAAGGUCAUGGAGAACAGGAGAGGUGCCUGAGGACUGGAAGAAAGCCAGUGUCACCCCGGUCUACAAAAGGGGCAAGAAGGAGGACCCAGGGAACUACAGGCCAGUCAGCCUCACCUGCAUCCCUGGAAAGGUGAUGGAGCAGCUCAUCCUGGAGGCCAUUUCCAAGCAUGUGGAGGACAAGAAGGUGAUGGGGAGUAGUCAGCAUGGCUUCACCAAGGGGAAGUCAUGCCUAACCAAUCUGAUAGCCUUCUCUGAUGGAAUGACUGACUGGGUGGAUGAGGGGAGAGCAGUGGAUGUUGUCUACCUUGACUUCAGCAAGCCUUUUCACACUGUCUCCCAUAACAUCCUCAUAGACAAGCUCAGGAAGUGCGGGCUGGAUGAGUGGACAGUGAGGUGGAUUGAGAAGUGGCUGAAUGGCAGAACUCAGAGGGUUGUGAUCAGCGGUGCAGAGUCUAGUUAG
ensembl:lncRNA